rnacentral:rRNA from 1 species
UGAGGAAUAUUGGUCAAUGGGCGAGAGCCUGAACCAGCCAAGUCGCGUGAAGGAAGACUGCCUUAUGGGUUGUAAACUUCUUUUAUACAGGAAUAAAAAGGCUUACGUGUAGGCCAUUGCAAGUACUGUAUGAAUAAGCAUCGGCUAACUCCGUGCCAGCAGCCGCGGUAAUACGGAGGAUGCGAGCGUUAUCCGGAUUUAUUGGGUUUAAAGGGUGCGCAGGCGGGCUUUUAAGUCAGCGGUGAAAUCUGGACGCUUAACGUCCAAACUGCCGUUGAAACUGGGAGUCUUGAGUAUGGAUGAAGUAGGCGGAAUUCGUUGUGUAGCGGUGACAUGCAUAGAUAUAACGAGGAACUCCGAUUGCGUAGGCAGCUUACUAAGCCAUAACUGACGCUCAUGCACGAAAGCGUGGGGGAUCAAACAGGAUUAGAUACCCUGGUAGUCCACGCCGUAAAACGAUGAUUACUAGUUGUAUGCGAUAUGAUAGUAUGUGACUAAGCGAAAGCGAUAAGUAAUCCACCUGGGGAGUACGCCGGCAACGGUGAAACUCAAAUGAAUUGACGGGGUCAUAGCUGUUUCCUG